AGAAAUUUAGGUUAACACCUACUAAACCAAGAGCCUUCAAAGCCCUAAAUAUGAGAUACCCCUCUUAAUUUCUG
rnacentral:tRNA from 1 species